GAUGAACGCUAGCUACAGGCUUAACACAUGCAAGUCGAGGGGAAACGACAUCGAAAGCUUGCUUUUGAUGGGCGUCGACCGGCGCACGGGUGAGUAACGCGUAUCCAACCUGCCCAUCACUUGGGAAUAACCUUGCGAAAGUAAGACUAAUACCCAAUGACAUCCCACGAAGACAUCUGAAUGCGAUAAAAGAUUUAUCGGUGAUGGAUGGGGAUGCGUCUGAUUAGCUUGUUGGCGGGGUAACGGCCCACCAAGGCAACGAUCAGUAGGGGUGCUGAGAGGAAGCUCCACCACAUUGGAACUGAGACACGGUCCAAACUGCUACGGGAGGCAGCAGUGAGGAAUAUUGGUCAAUGGGCGAGAGCCUGAACCAGCCAAGUAGCGUGCAGGAUGCCGGCCCUAUGGGUUGUAAACUGCUUGUAUAAGGGCAUAAAGUGGGUCUCGUGAGACUUUUUGCAUGUACCUUAUGAAUAAGGACCGGCUAAUUACGUG
rnacentral:rRNA from 1 species